rnacentral:rRNA from 1 species
GUGAACGCUGGCGGUAGGCCUAACACAUGCAAGUCGCACGGCAGCACAGUAAGAGCUUGCUCUUACGGGUGGCGAGUGGCGGACGGGUGAGGAAUACAUCGGAAUCUACUUUUUCGUGGGGGAUAACGUAGGGAAACUUACGCUAAUACCGCAUACGACCUACGGGUGAAAGCAGGGGAUCUUCGGACCUUGCGCGAUUGAAUGAGCCGAUGUCGGAUUAGCUAGUUGGCGGGGUAAAGGCCCACCAAGGCGACGAUCCGUAGCUGGUCUGAGAAGAUGAUCAGCCACACUGGAACUGAGACACGGUCCAGACUCCUACGGGAGGCAGCAGUGGGGAAUAUUGGACAAUGGGCGCAAGCCUGAUCCAGCCAUACCGCGUGGGUGAAGAAGGCCUUCGGGUUGUAAAGCCCUUUUGUUGGGAAAGAAAAGCAGCAGGUUAAUACCCCGCUGUUCUGACGGUACCCAAAGAAUAAGCACCGGCUAACUUCGUG